rnacentral:snRNA from 1 species
GGAUGUGAGGUGACCUAGCUGAGACAUCUGUUACCCCCUUGAUCACCAGGGCUGGUUUGGCUGACCUAGCUGGCGAGGCGGGUGUCCCCUUCCUCCCUCAACACUGCAUGGGCGUCCUUCCUGAAGCUGCAGGCUCCGUCGAAGAGGACGACCGCACCUGGUGGAGGAGGACCGCUCCUCUUUCCUCGGCCAAGGGGGUACAAGUAGCUGCGCUCCCUGCUGGGACCUCCAAACAAGCUCUCAAAUGCAAUUCGCUAAGGUGUCAGAGCAGUAGGUGGGGAUAAGCCUGAUUUCCUUUUUAAAAACACGUUACCACAGCUAAAAAGAACAUCGCUUUUGAUC